UACGUAGGUGGCAAGCGUUGUCCGGAUUUACUGGGCGUAAAGAGCGCGCAGGCGGUCGAUCAAGUCGCGUGUGAAAGCCCCCGGCUCAACUGGGGAGGGUCACGCGAUACUGAUCGACUCGAAGGCAGGAGAGGGUAGUGGAAUUCCCGGUGUAGUGGUGAAAUGCGUAGAUAUCGGGAGGAACAUCAGUGGCGAAGGCGGCCCUCUCGGUCCAGUACUGACACUCAAGUGC
rnacentral:rRNA from 1 species